AACGAACGCUGGCGGCAUGCCUAACACAUGCAAGUCGAACGAGACCUUCGGGUCUAGUGGCGCACGGGUGCGUAACGCGUGGGAACCUGCCCUUAGGUUCGGAAUAACUCCCCGAAAGGGGUGCUAAUACCGGAUAAUGUCUUCGGGCCAAAGAUUUAUCGCCUUUGGAUGGGCCCGCGUUGGAUUAGCUAGUUGGUAGGGUAAAAGCCUACCAAGGCGACGAUCCAUAGCUGGUCUGAGAGGAUGAUCAGCCACACUGGGACUGAGACACGGCCCAGACUCCUACGGGAAGCAGCAGUGGGGAAUAUUGGACAAUGGGCGAAAGCCUGAUCCAGCAAUGCCGCGUGAGUGAUGAAGGCCUUAGGGUUGUAAAGCUCUUUUACCCGGGAUGAUAAUGACAGUACCGGGAGAAUAAGCGCCGGCUAACUCCGUG
rnacentral:rRNA from 1 species